AUGGCAACAGCCCCAGCUAGAAGAAAACAUGGCGCAUGUCUGCUUCGAAUCAGAGAAAAUUGUCCAUUCCGAAAAUUAAGGAAAAACAGGUGUUAUGACAUUACACCCUCAGCUUCAGCCGGUGAUGGGGCCUAUUGGGGAGACACCAGUGAGCACUCAAUUUCUACAUCCGAAAACAGACCUUUCAGCACACAUGUAGAGCCCCUCCCUCCAUCCUGUCAGUCUGUUUAUUCCAGACAAUCACAAGACUCCAUUGCAGCAAUGGAUAUGGAUGUGAUCAGACUCCCUGCUCCUGCUAUGGAUGUCAUGAGUCUCACCCCACCCUGUCUAGUGGUUCCAGGACCUCCGGCUCCCAACCUCCAGCCUGGCUGCCAGCACAGAGAGCCCCCCACUGCGGCACCCGCUGAGGCCAGCAUGGAACUGGACAGCGGUGUCGACCCAGAGACUGGAGAGAGAGCCCAGGAAUGA
rnacentral:lncRNA from 1 species